rnacentral:lncRNA from 1 species
UUCAGGGGCUAAGAACACGAUUCGAUUUUCUUACCGCCUCCAAAUUAAAUUUCUUUGCAAUGAAUAUUCGAUGUACGACUUGAAUGGCUUCUCCCCGGUCGGCUACAUCCCGAAAAAAAUCAUUUCCCAUUGCCUGACCAUCGAAAAUCGACCGCAUCCAAUGGUGCCUUCAAUACCCUGUUCCGCCAUCCAUGGAGCCCGCAAACAUACAGGUUUCGACCUCACCUUUAUGUUUUUGUUCUUUACUCACAGAUUUGAACUUCCUACUUUCUAAUUGUGUGUGUCUCAUUUUCCUAGCCUGGUGAUGUUCCCUGUGAGUUCCUCAAUGGCCGCGACCGUUGCCCAAGGGUCGGGGUCCAAAAAAAAUGCUCGAUGGAAUCCAGCGGAACGAUGAACCUUCAUUGCAACCUAAGAAACCGUCAUUGCUGAAGGUCAUCGCACUAGGCGGUGUUUUACAAAAGGCGGCUGGAAAUGUGUGAUAGCGUUAUUCAACUCGGCCUCCGGACAUAGGUGAAGCAAACAACAACUCCGCAACCAUUGGGACGCAAUACGUCGAGAGCACAAACGUAUGUCGGAGCUUCUUAAUUGCAAAAGGGUCAAAUACAACACUUCAACUAGAAGAAUUGUUGCCUCCGAGGAAUGGUGGUCUUGAAAAUUGAAGGUAAAAACUUUGUCCUCCAACGGUGUGUACGGUGAAUUUGUAAUUGCAAAACCGAAAUUCCAUUGCUGAGAUUUUCUGUACGAAAUGAACGUAAACAAUAUUUGUACAUGCAUGACUGGCUUUCUUUGUUUUCAACUGCCUACUGCCUUCACUUGUUGGGAUGCUUUGAUAUGGUUUAGCUACUAUCGACUUAUGUGUUGCGCCACAACCGUUAUUUAGUUUCUUCUGUCACGUGCACAAACCCCAUAGGCAAAUAAAGAGUACGGUUUCUUUUUUCCAUUCUACAUGUUAAGGUCACCUGUAAUGCCAUGAUUAUAGUGUGUUUUACAUAUGUAGAUGUUGUUUUAUUGUGUACGUGUUGUAGUAACUUGCCUUUUGCAUCCGCACUUAGUCUCGCUAAACUAUUUUAUACUUUCAUGCAUGGGGAAGGUAUUGGGGUCAAAUUGUUGGUGCUACCAUCUAAAUGGGAUAUUGGAGUGCAAUUCUUGUUUUCUAUUAACACCUUGUGCGAUGUUAGUUUAACUGAUUUGUCCUUUCUCGCAGGAGAGCAAGGACUAAAAGGAUUUCAAGGAUUACGACAUAAGUGAGAUUUACAUUCGAUAUCGUCGGCUGUUUGGAGACAAUUAUGACAGCGAAAAGUACGCAGUUAUCCCGACAAAGCUAUGCAGAACUAGCUUCAAUGUUUUCAAGGAUAGUGCUCUUGAAGACCACAGAGAUGCAAUCCCAGACUAGGGCAAGAGCAGCAGUUCCAGUGACGAGAGUAACGACGCGAACGGUACCGGAAGCAUGGCGUGUCUAGAGUCAGAAGCGACGAAAAAAGGAAGUCGUCCACAACAAAGUAGCGAAGGAAGAAAAAGCAUGUUUUUGAAUAUGAACUGUCUUUCUCGAUCGACCGAGUGAGUAGUGCCGCUGAGGAAGUGGCGGCGAAGAUCAACACUGUCAUCGAUGUUGGAGUCACAUGUGUAGAGGAGUUGCUUGCAACCGAUCAACUACAGCGACGGACGCUACUCUACUUCUACACCUGCACUCUCCUAGAGCAAAAAAGAUAUCAAGACAUGCUCGGUGUCAUGCAAGAUGCCGAUGAGAAAUUUGAAUGGAUCAUGUGGCGGUUCAACGAACGUAACAGAUCAUGGCAUUAGCUUGUUUUGGUAUAUGUUGGUUUGACUGUGUGUUAUCCUUAGUAUGCUUCAAGAGUUCGUGUUUUUAUUUUUUAUUUUUUAUUUUUUUAUUUUUUUUUGGUAUGUCAUCAUUUUUUUAUUUGGUUAUUCUCCGUACACAUGAUGUGGUUUAGGUUUGCAUGCGAUGUCAUGUUGGAUACAUAUAUUUGCU